UCCCUGCUGACUCAGAUGGUCAAGGACCCACCUGCAAUGUGGGAGACCUGGGUUCGAUCCCUGGGUUGGGAA
rfam:TPA: Bos taurus chromosome 5, whole genome shotgun sequence.